rnacentral:lncRNA from 1 species
AAAUAUACCGAUAAAGUGUAAAGCUGAAAUUACACGGUGAGUCCGAAUCGUUUAUUCAUCUGUACGUGUGAAGCUACAUUCUCAUUUCCCGCAUACAAUAACAAUGAUUCACAGAAUAUCGAAUCGAUUUAGAUAUUUGAGCGAGUCCUGCGCUCGGAGCUUUUCGGCUGUGUCAGCUAUGAGCCACGAUUCAUGCCAAAUGAUUCAACGUGUGAACAAAGCGUGAUUCCUCACAUCAGAAUCAGCGUCUAAAUCGACCUUAGCGUAGUGCGAAUGAAAUGUUACGUCAUUUGAUAAUUUGCUGCUAGUCAACUGGUGUACACCCUAUGUCUAUUGAUUAAAAUUAAUAUACAUAUUCUGUUUUC